rnacentral:rRNA from 1 species
GACGGAGGGUGCUAGCGUUGUUCGGAAUGACUGGGCGUAAAGGGCGCGUAGGCGGCUCGUGAAGUCGGGUGUGAAAGCCCGGGGCUCAACCCCGGAACGGCAUCCGAUACUGGCGGGCUUGAGACCGGGAGAGGAGGGUGGAAUACCCAGUGUAGAGGUGAAACUCGUAGAUAUUGGGUGGAACACCGGUGGCGAAAGCGGCUCUCUGGCCCGGAUCUGACGCUGAGGCGCGAAAGCGUGGGGAGCAAACAGG